UUUCCGUAGGUGAACCUGCGGAAGGAUCAUUACCAAAACAAAGGCACUGGCGUGUCCCUGGUGCAGCGCUAGUUGGCUCGAAAGAGCCAACGCUUGCUGCAUAAAAGCGACCGCCAGUCUCUUCUACAAACCCCAUAAUGUGAACAUUGUUUAAAAGCGGCCAGAGCAGUGCAUGCAAAUGCGCCGUUCGAGCCGCUUUAUCAACGCCAACCCAACAUACAAAUACUACAACCUGUUGGUCUAAAAACUGCUUUUGUUUUUUGGAAGUCGAAUUCGACAACCAUCAAAAAUCAUAAACAACUUUUAACAACGGAUCUCUAGGCUCUC
rnacentral:misc_RNA from 1 species